GCGUGAACACACCGCUUGCCCGGUGCUUGCCCUGUCUUGGCCGCCGGUAGCCCCGCUCCCGAGACACCCAGCCUCUACACUCCCAGUCAUUUCUCUCCGCAGUAAAGAGUGACAGGGUAGACGGAGAGGGGAUGCCAUUAAAGGGCCCACGGUGUUUGGGCCUUGCCUCUCCAGCUCAAGAAAAGGGACACGAGAGCAACUUGGAAGCUGUCUAGUGACCUGUGGGCGCGGGGAAGGAAGCAAAACCCAGCAGGGGCCGCUGAGGAGUGAGAUGGACCCAAACUAAGACACGAGGAUGGUCCAAGAAGGGACGAUGCCGAGGGAUGCUGCAGUGCGGGGGUGAGCCCACGCCCACCAGUGCUGACAGCAGAACCCGAACUAAGGCCUGCUCAGUGUAUUCUCUUCCGUUGAGCUGCACUCCCACCUAACUACGGUUUCCGUGCGCAUCACAGCUAGCUAGCGUUUGCUUGUGACUGCUGGUUUUAGGAAGCCCUGGGAAAACCCGGCAACAGUGGAGUCCACACUGUCUUCUGCAGAACCACGGGAAGUGCAGUUGCCGCUUUCAAUAUGUGCAUGGAUGUGGGGUCAUCGGUAUCCUACCAUGGGCCACAUCCCUGAAGAAAACUGACUCCAAACUGCCGGGCCAAGCUGAACGGUGCUGUCUCCACAAAGGAAAGGGUCUCUGGUGUGCUGGAACUUCCCAGGUGAGAGUGGCUGACCAUGGAGCCCAGAAGGCCUCCUGUCUCCCAGAACCUCAAGACAAGAAAUUCAGUCGGUGCUGCAUGUUUUUGUUUGAUUCUGGGGUGUGUGUGUGUGUGUGUGUGUGUGUGUGUGUGUGUGUGUGUGUGCAUGUUCAUGUGUGUGCAUGUUAGCGUAGGCCAGAGGCUUCCUUGACUCUGAAGAUACAGCUCAGCCCUUACUUUUAUAUUUUUGGGGAUAGAGUCUCAACAUUUACGCCAGUCUCACCUUAAACUCCCCAUUCUUCUCCCUCAGCCUUUGUGCUCUACUGAAUCAGGUCCAAAUUUCUGCUUUAAAAAUGGUUCUUUGUUGUUGUUGUUUUUAAUCAUGUGCAUGUUUAAUAAAUGUGUUUGCAGGUCCUCUUGGAGGCCAGAGGUGGUGGUUGUGAGCCACCUGAGUGGGUGCUGAAAGUUGAAAUGAGGUCCUCUGCAAGAGCAGUACAUGCUUUUAACCAAGCCCGAUCUCCAGCCCCUGAACUUCUGCUUUUCAUACCUAUUUUGUGAGAAUUUGUUGUAACUUUGGGAGACUGAAGCCUCGGGGCUGACUGGACGAUUCAGCAGGCAGAGCACCUAAGGACCUGGAUCCCUGGAGCUCCAUAAAGGUGGAAGGAGAAACCCCAUUUCAUAAAGUUGUCCUCUGACCUCCACACUGUGCCGAGAACUCCAGCACACACAUCACACUAACAAUAAGAAGCAACUAAACCCUUGUUUAAUCCCGCAAGUCUGCAUUCACGAGACACCCCAAACCACCAGGCCACUAGAUGUGCCCCUCAGGACCUGUUUCCUGACGAAACUCACAAAGCCCCUAGGGUGAGAGGCUGUCCUGGGGCCGGAGCAACGGCCCACCUCACCCUGGGGACGGGGAGACAGGCCCUGGGCUGCUGUCCCUCCGCGGCACCCUCCAUGACGUGGGAGGCCGAGGGACAGACGCACAUGCUCUGCUCUGAGUCAUGAGGUUAUUUGGUCACUCAACAAACACUCAGGGGUCAGUUCUAGGCCAAGCACCAGUGAGCCCGUAAAUGCGUGGUUUAUUAGAUGGCAUGGUUAGUGACAUCAUAGACAUGUGGUUGGUGACAUCAUAGACACGCGGCUGGUGACAUCAUAGACGCGUGGUUGGUGACGUCAUAGACACGCGGUGGUGACAUCAGGCAUGCGGCUGAUGACAUCAUAGACACGCGGCUGGUGACAUCAUAGACGCGUGGCUGGUGACAUCAUAGGCACACGGCUGGUGACAUCAAGGGAAACCCAGUUUGCUCCAGGAGGGGGAGGGCCUUUCUGGACUCUCCUGAGUGCCUCUCUCUGCCCCUCGGGCCAAAGAAGCAGGUGUUUGCUAGGUGACGGUGGCGCACGCCUUUGGGAGAGCAGGUGGAUCUCUGAGUUUGAGGCAAGCCUGGUCUACAGAGCGAGUUCCAGGACAGUUAGAGCUGUUAUUCAGAGAAACCCUGUCUCCAAAACAAACCAAAAAAACAAAAACACAAAAACAAAAAACCCAAAACCAACCAAAAAAAAAAAAAAGAAAGAAAGAAAGAAAGAAAAAAGCAGCAGCAGCAUGUAUUUGGCUGAGCAACUACAGAGUGUGAGAACUCAGAGAAAGUGGACUCCAGUCCCCUGGAGCAAGCAUGAGCUUGGCAGGCAGUGAACACAGGUAUGGGCCUGUUUGAGAUGAGUGCAUGAGCUUGAAAGCCUACAUUUCCCCACUGGGUGUGUGUACGUGUGUGUGUGUGUGUGUGUGUGUGUGUGUGUGUGUGUGUGUGUGCGUGUGACGGCCAGAGGUCAACCUCAGGAGUCCUUCCUCAGCAACUGUUCACCUUGGUUCUCGAGUCAAGGUCUUUCAAGGACCAGCGGCUUGCUGAUCUGGCUAACCUGGCUGGCCAGUCAGCUGUAGGGAGCCUCUUGUCUCUGCCUUCCUGGUGCUGGGAUUCCAAGUGUGUGCCACGAUCCACAAAAGCCUACUACAUUAAACAUUUUUUGCUUAUAAUUUACAUAUUUAAAAAUAAAUUUUAACUUAUUCUG